rnacentral:rRNA from 1 species
UGGGGAAUAUUGCACAAUGGGCGCAAGCCUGAUGCAGCCAUGCCGCGUGUAUGAAGAAGGCCUUCGGGUUGUAAAGUACUUUCAGCGGGGAGGAAGGGAGUAAAGUUAAUACCUUUGCUCAUUGACGUUACCCGCAGAAGAAGCACCGGCCAACUCCGUGCCAGCAGCCGCGGUAAUACGGAGGGUGCAAGCGUUAAUCGGAAUUACUGGGCGUAAAGCGCACGCAGGCGGUUUGUUAAGUCAGAUGUGAAAUCCCCGGGCUCAACCUGGGAACUGCAUCUGAUACUGGCAAGCUUGAGUCUCGUAGAGGGGGGUAGAAUUCCAGGUGUAGCGGUGAAAUGCGUAGAGAUCUGGAGGAAUACCGGUGGCGAAGGCGGCCCCCUGGACGAAGACUGACGCUCAGGUGCGAAAGCGUGGGGAGCAAACA